UCCUUGUGCGAGGAGUGGCGAGUGUGGUGUAGAUGUUUGCUGGUGGCCACAUUUAUUUUGUACGAGUGUCCUGGGCCUGUUGGACGGCUGGUGUAGUUGUCCAUAGCUUUGUUUCUUCCGGUCAUGUUUCGUCGUUCCUUGAUGGAGUGAGGAGAGAGGAGGGGAAGAAGAGAAAAAAAAAAAAAAAGGGAAAGAAAAAGAGGGGGGUGCCCCGUGAUCCCAGAAAAAAUGUCAGCGUGGAGUCUUCAGCGAUUUCUCAGGCAAACGGGGUAGGUUUAUUCCUCUGGGCUCGCUUGCUGUAGAGAGGUAAAUUCAGCGUUUGGUCCCUGCUGGAUGUGGCGGCGGGUUGGUCGCCCUGUGAAGCGCUCAUUCAUCGGGCAAUUUGUCCAGUCUGCGAUGGGCAUUUGUGGGAGGCCAAGGGCUUCUUGGAAGGCUUGUACGUCUUGUGGUGAUCUUAUCGUGGCUUCGGUGUCAUCUCGCCGGGCUGUUAGGGCAAAUGGGAAUUGCCAGCGGUAGCGUAUUUGGGCCUCCUGCAUGGCGGUGGUAAGGGGCCGCAGCGCUCUUCGGGCCUGUAGGGUGAGGUGGGAGAGGUCGUUAUAUAGUUCGACCGUCUGCCCCUCAUGCCUCCAGGACCUCUCCGUCCGGGCUUUCCUCAUAAUUUCUUCCUUAAGUUGGAAGUCUGGUAUGUGGCAAAUUAUGUCUCUAGGAGGGGCACCUGGCGGGGGC